UGCAGCCUUGUCAAAUUCAGUGUUUCCUUUUCAGUGGACCGCACUGGCCAAAAUGGCUGCAACAGUGACUUUUUAGUCCAUGGGCCCCAUGUUCUUUUUAUGGUGGAUACUAGGGGCAGUAGUGGCUAUGUACAAUA